UUCCAACCAUAACAGCAUCUUCUUUUUUCAAUGCUUUUGAGACUACAUCAAAUUACAAUAUGAAACAGAGCUUAUAACCAAUUAAAACAAUACCAAUGUAUCCUGGAAAAUUAACUGAAUAUAAAAUACAUCAAUUUCCCUGAAGAACAAAAAAAAUUGAGACUCCGGAAAAGAUCAGACUCACACGAUCGAUCUGCUGUGUUGUCAAUGUGGCCUUUCCGUCUCGGCCUGCUCAAAUCACUGUAAUAAUUCUCUAGGCGGUGGACUUUUCUUGGCAGCAUCAGAAAGAGAAAGGCAAACCUUUUCCCUUAAUACCGGUGAGAUCCCUUUCCUAAUCAACCUAUUCAACGUGAUCGAGAAAUUAAAGAGCAGGAGAUACGUAUCAGAAGCUACACUGAUAUGACUCCCGAUUAGCUUUAUUGUAUCUUCGUGUGUAAAAAACUAAUCCCACACUGAUACGACUGGAUCAAAACCUUAAACCCAAGGAUUAACAUGUCGACCAACUGUAAGCAACAAUCAGACAAUACAUAUGAGUAUAUGACAUGAGCUUCAAUUUAAUUGAGAAUAUAUUAUCAUAAGUUAGUCCAGUUGAUCCUUAGUGGAAUUCUGGUGUUUUAAAAAAAGAUUGUUAUUGGUUCUUACCUUUGUCUGUAUUUGAGAUCAUUUGACUUUAAUUUCCUUUCAUGAAGCUUUGAUAUUGCCAUUGUGUUGAAUCUGCAAAAAAAUAUAACUCUUGAGUGGCGUUAGCGAUUAAAAGUGGAUCCGUCGUAUUCGUAAUCUGAUCGGAGAAUGCAAAGCGGCGUCGUAGCAGGAGACUGCAGUUGAGAUUGGAGGAAGAAAGAUAAUCUUAUGGUUUAAUGAUACCAUGAUAAGCUGAUUUAAAGCUUGAGGAGACAAUACCAUUAACUCCUAAAGAAUCUUGA
rnacentral:lncRNA from 1 species